UGCGCUUACAGGGAAGCAUAUCGAUACAGAUGUACAACAUAAUUCCCUGGCUGAUGAAGUGGCUACCUGGACCUCAUAAGACAAUGUUCACUCUGACACAGGAGGUAAGGGACUUUAUAGAAAUCAGGAUCAGAGAACACAAAGAAACCCUUGACCCAGCGUCACCAAGAGACUAUAUUGAUGCCUUUCUUAUAGAAAUGGCAAAGAACGAGGGCAAAGAUUCAAGUUUUUCUCUCAGUAACUUACACGCUUGCACCAUGGACCUGUUUUUUGCUGGAACUGAAACUACUACCACUACUUUACGUUGGGGGUUGCUUUACAUGAUCUACUACCCUGAUAUACAAGGUGCGUGUGUAAUACCCAACAGUACUGUGU